UGUGGUUUGGGAGCUGCACGGUCAGGGGGAAAACAAUGCUGUCCAGGUUUGUAAAGACUGCAGAGAGAAUAAUUGGGUGCACUCUUCCCACCUUGGAUCAAAUCUAUGCUGCCAGGUGCCAUAAGAAAGCUGCAGAGAUAGUACAGGAUAGUGCGCACCCCGGAAAUGAUCUCUUUCAGCUUCUGCCUUCUGGAAGAAGGUACAGGGUUAUAAAGACCAGGACUAGCCACCUGAGAAACAGUUUCUACCCAAAUGCAAUUCUGGUUUUAAAUACAAUAUAAGGAGUCUCUAUAGUAUAUUGUAUUUUAAAAAGGGGUUUCAGAGUUUUUAGGGGUUUUUGAAUGUCUUACGUAGAUUUUUCGAUUUCAUGGUUCUGUACGGGACAAUGACAAUAAAUGUAUUGUAUCAUAUCGUAUCGUUGUUGCUUACUGGAAGAGGUAGAGGUAGGGAGGUCGAUUUAGUGCAAACACACCCCUGGAGCGUGUUAACUCCCCACCACCACCUAUAAUAAUAAUAAUAAUAAUAAUAAUAAUAAUAAUAAAUAAUUCACCUUUUUCCUCUCUUCUCCCUCCCAGUAAGCGACAGCACCUCACCUGCCAGGAAGUGAGCCUAGAAGCUCCACCCCACGCCACAAACCACUACAGCCUUUCCCUUGAAUAUGCCUGAUCUUCUCUUAACGCAAUCGAAGCUACAGUGGUACCUCUGGUUGCGAACGGGAUCCUUUCCAGAGGCCUGUUCUCAACAUGAAAAGAACACAACCCGCAGCAGCGCGUCUGCACAUGCACGGAUUGCGAUUCAACGCUUCUGCGCAUGCGCGUGAUGUCAUUUCACGCGUCUGCGCAUGCGCGAGUGACGAAACUCGGAAGUAACCCUUUCAUAGCUGUCAACAUUUUUUUAAGGGGAAUUCCCUUAUUCCAAGUAGGAUUCCUCGCAAGAAAAGGGAAAAGUUGACUGCUAUGAAUCCUUUCCGGUAGUUCUGGGCCGCCGUGGGACGUAAUCUGAAAGAACGUAACAUGAAGCGGACAUAGCAUGAGGUAUGACUGUAGUUGCCAUCACAGCACCUUACAGCGGCAAAUCACAUAAAUUUGCAAAAUCAAGGUUUUUAGGCCUUGUGACAUCAAGAGUGCCAGAAGACAGUAUGUGCAGACCUGAGGAGCAGGAGGAGGAGGAAUUAACUUUUGAAUAUUUGCAAGCACCGAGCCAAAGAGAGAGAGGAAAUAGGAAGACUGGGAGUAACUCAUCUUUUGACAGUCAACAUGUCAUUGAAUCCAUAUGCAUGCGGACAGGAAGGUCAAGGAAAUGUUUCCCAACGGAGGAGGCUUGUGGGGCCUCAUCCAUCAAAAACCUAUUAAUAAUAGAACAGAUUAUUCACAGAUAAUGCAAAUAUAAUUACAGUCACCCGGUAGCCCUGGUACGGAAAGAGCAUAUAUUUGACAUACAGAAUAAACUCCAUACUCCAUUUUGACAUACAGCCUGGGUCAUUUUGGUUAAGAGCUUCAAUAUGGCCGCAGUAAACGGGCAUUCGGCUGAAAGGCAGAAACUCUGCUCUAUAUUCAUAGGGUAAGAUUAUUCGAUUGGUAAACUACAAAAAAAAAUAGUAUUCAGUGGUUAAAUGCAUGCCACAAAUAUCAGAUACAUGUUGCCUACUUCAGCCUUAUUGCAAGAAAACUUGGCUACUGUUCUCCAUGCUUUUGGAGCUUCCAUAAGGGAUUGCUUCUAUGUGCACCACUUGGGGCUGCCUCUUAAGGAUGCCUUGGAAACUUUGACUGGUCCAAGAUGCAGCCGUCAGAUUACUGGCUUGGUUUCCAUUUAGAGCACCUAUAAAACUUAUUUUAAAACAGCCGCACUUGUUACCAGCUCGUUUUUGGCACCAAUUCAAAUCCUAAAUGACUUAGGCCACAAAUGUCUGAAAGACCCCACAGAACAUCUUGGGUGUUGAAAUAUGUAGAGGGGGCCCUCUAGGCAAUCCCAUCACCCUCUUAGGCUUUUUGGGGGGCAACAGAGGGCAGGCAUUCUCCAUGGCAGUAAUGAUAAGUUCAUUUAUACCCCAAGGCGGCUUACAGACAAGAAUAGUAAUAAUAAUUCCCUUAGAAAUGACAACAAGAAUCUGCCUUGCAGGCCUUUUGAAAGACCUUCAAAGAACACACGUAAAGUGCUUUGGACAUUCAGAUUCUAGUUGUAAUUUCUAUCCAUUUCAGUUCCUCUCUAUUUCUCAUUUUUUCCAAUCUUAAGUUCAUUUCUCCACAUUUCCACAACAGUUUGAAAUAUAUUAUAACAGUAAAAAAGUCCUCAUGAAAAUUCAUGAGAAUCCCCCCCCCCCCCCCGUGGAUUACUCCUAAUGAAUGCCAUUUUUACUAAUAUGCAUAUUUGGACAAAGUACGUAGUCUUCCUUAACAUUGAAAUGUUUCUGUAUGUCUUCUCCACGAAUGCAUAUGUACAGUGGUACCUUGGGUUAAGAACUAAAUUCGUUCUGGAGGUCCGUUCUUAACCUGAAACUGUUCUUAACCUGAGGUACCACUUUAGUUAAUGGGGCCUCCCGCCGCCACCACGUGAUUUCUGUUCUCAUCCUGAAGCAAAGUUCUUAACCCGAGGUACUAUUUCUGGGUUAUCGGAGUCUGUAACCUAAAGCGUCUGGAACCUGAAGCAUCUGGAACCCGAGGUACAUUAAUGUGAACACUUCAGAAUAUGUACCGGUAUUUCUGUGCACUUGACAUGGCUGAGGGAACCGCACUGCAAAAUUCAAAGAAGUGCAAAUGUCGAAGAAGAGCUGUGUUUCAGAUUGUGUAUUGUUGUGUGUGUGUUUGCCUUUGAAUGUGGACUGGAUCAAAUGUCUCCACCAUCCUUAGGAUUAUUUGAAAGGUCUGUCACUUGUUAGAAACAAAAGAAACACACACACACACACCUCCCGAGGGAGACCUUUUCUGUGCAAAUUUUCAUGGCUUAAAAGAGGAAUCAGCACUCGUUUUAAAAGCAGGGUCUAUAAUUAAGAUUACAAGUAUUUCCUCUUUUGCCGGAUGUUUGUGUUUUGCAAUAAAUUCUGUUGCUUGAUUUGGCUCAUUACCAGCACAAUAUAAAUAUUCAGGAAGAAAAUUUGUCUUUAAUGAAUUAGUCUGAUUGCUUUAAUUACAUUUACAAUCUGUUGUUUCUCAUAGGGUUGUGUUUUUUUUUAAAAAAAGCAAUUGCUUGCUUGAUGUAUGAUUGUUUUCUCCAAUGCUGAAUGUAGGGGACAAGUAUUACAGAUAGCUCACCAACAUUGACGGCAUGAAAUUGAAAAUAUAUAUAUAAAGAAUGCAAUCCAGCAACAUUUAAAAGAAGUAAGAGGCAUGCCACUGAUUUUAUUGGAGUAUAAAUCACAUCCUCUCACCCCAUUCCAUUGCUAGGUGCACAAGGUGACUGAUAGAUGCAGCUAAGGCUGUAUAUUGCUGACAAAAGAUGCAUCCGGUUCACUGUGGACCUAGAUGAGCAUUACAGUCGGGAUGCUUUGUUCUUUCUGUCUGAAAUUUGACAGGUCUGAACCUUUGCAAGGGGAGAUAGGAGGACUGCCAUGUCAUGCCAAUAGAAUGGAAAACACCAAAGUUACAUGAAGCAAAAGACUGGCUGGGUCCCAUUGAGUCCCCAUUGAUUCCUAUCGAUGUUAAUUGAAAACCUAUAGGAUGCAUGCCUCGAAACGGGGGAUCCAUUGGUCCAGUCUGUUUGAAAAUUGACAAGUCUUGUGCUUUUUAUUUUUCGUGUGUGUGUGUGUGUGUGUGUGUGUGCUUUAAUGCUUAGAGCACUUGAUUGUAACAAAACCUCUAAGCAGUUUACAGGAAAUAUUAAAAUUAUUAGUAAAAACAGUUCCAAACAAAUGCAUUUAAAAGCAUUUGUAUCUUUCCAUAAUAUUUCUUUUUCUUUUAUCUUUCUUUUUAUUGUCCUUUUGAUUUUCUUCUUGUUCUUCUUUCUUUGGAGUCCAAUGUCUCUUCUUUCUUCUUCUUUGGCGAUCACUCGUAGCCAGUAAGAUUGUCUUCCCUGAGCACCGUUUUAACAGUGGGUCCAUAAGUGACUGUGGAGGCCAAUUCUGGAUCCACAAGUCCCAUGUCUAGGGCCUUGACUAAGGUCCAGAGAUUGUAAACUCAUGGGAAUGGUAGAUGGAGAUUGUGAAGAGGCCAUGGGAUGCUUCCUCGCAGCUGCCACUGCUGCCACUGCCCGGGACAAUUGCUGGCUCUUCUUCGUCCCCAAGCUUGGUGGCGGCAGCACUGGAGGGGGGCAAAUAAGGGCAUUCCAGGAUCAAAUCAGGCUUUUGAAAAACUUCUGGACCAUCCCUGGAGAAUCGGGACACUUGGACAGUAUGCUGUUCUAGGUGCUUUAAAUGGUCAAAGGGUAGGAGGAAAGGUAUGCCUCUAUUCUACCAAGUGAGCCACUGCUGGAAAAAUGUAAAAGAGUUUCCUAGACUGGAGGUAUCCCUCCCUGGGACCCAAAUGUAAAAGGAUGCAGGCUCCAAGUGAAAAGACAGCCUUUAUUGAAACACAAAUGUGCAUAGGGACAGCCUCAAAAAUAAGAAGGAGGCUGCGAAGAACUACACCAGCCACUUAUUAUUGAGGGGAAGUGCAUGGAACAGGUCUCGAUGUUUCGAUUUCUGGGAAUGGAGUUGAGAGAUGACCUAACCUGGGGAGAAAACAGCAAAGACCUGAUGAAGAGAGCACAGCAGAGGUUAUAUUUUCUGAGAAUCCUCCGGAAAAACAAUCUCUCAAAGGACCUGUUGAUGGCAUUUUACCAUUGUAUUGUGGAGAGUGUAUUAACUUAUGGUCUGUGUGUGCGGUUUGGGAGCUGCACGGCCAGGGAAAAAACAAUGCUAUCCAGGGUUGUAAAGACUGCGGAGAGAAUAAUUGGGUGCACUCUUCCCACCUUGGAUCAAAUCUAUGCUUCCAGGUGCCAUAAGAAAGCUGCAGAGAUAGAGCAGGAUAGUGCGCACUCGGAAAUGAUCUCUUUCAGCUUCUGCCUUCUGGAAGAAGGUACAGGGUUAUAAAGACUAGGACUAGCCGCCUG